rnacentral:lncRNA from 1 species
GUUUCAAAUAUUAAAUCAACCUAAUUGAACCAACCUUAUUAAAAUAGAUUAGGCACAAUUAGACUAAGUUAAACCCAACACAAUUAUGCUUAAUUAGGCUCAAUAAAAUCCUAAUCAAAUCAGGAAUUGACUAAGUCCAACCCCUAAUCAGAUCAGGGAGCGAUUAGGUCAACUCUUAACCUAAUCGGGUCAAACCCAACUGAAUCCAAUUCAAUUGGACUUGAUCCAAAAAUAAUUACUCAAUCAAAUUGAGUUAAUUAGUGAUCAAAUUAUUAAUUAAAUCUCUCAUAAAUAUUGAGUCCAAAUUUGAUGGACAAUUGGGCAUCAAAGUCCAUCGAUAUGAAACCUUGAUCGAAGAGUCCCAAACCAGUGGGACUCUUGACCCCGGUAUCCAAAAUGUGUGGAACUCACGAUCAGAGAAUCCUGAUUCUCAAUCACAGAGUCUCAGACAUGUAGGACUCAGAGUCCCCAAAUAUUAAGACUCUUGAUCAAAAAAUCCCAGUCCAGUGGGACUCUUCACCAGCCAUC